GAUGAACGCUGGCGGCGUGCCUAAUACAUGCAAGUCGAGCGAACGGACGAGAAGCUUGCUUCUCUGAUGUUAGCGGCGGACGGGUGAGUAACACGUGGAUAACCUACCUAUAAGACUGGGAUAACUUCGGGAAACCGGAGCUAAUACCGGAUAAUACUUUGAACCGCAUGGUUCAAAAGUGAAUGACGGUCUUGCUGUCACUUAUAGAUGGAUCCGCGCUGCAUUAGCUAGUUGGUAAGGUAACGGCUUACCAAGGCAACGAUGCAUAGCCGACCUGAGAGGAUGAUCGGCCACACUGGAACUGAGACACGGUCCAGACUCCUACGGGAGGCAGCAGUAGGGAAUAUUCCGCAAUGGGCGAAAGCCUGACGGAGCAACGCCGCGUGAGUGAUGAAGGUCUUCGGAUCGUAAAACUCUGUUAUUAGGGAAGAACAUAUGUGUAAGUAACUGUGCACAUCUUGACGGUACCUAAUCAGAAAGCAACGGCUAACUACGUG
rnacentral:rRNA from 1 species